UACGUAGGGUGCAAGCGUUAAUCGGAAUUACUGGGCGUAAAGCGUGCGCAGGCGGUUUUGUAAGUCUGACGUGAAAUCCCCGGGCUCAACCUGGGAACUGCAUUUGUGACUGCAUCGCUGGAGUGCGGUAGAGGGGGAUGGAAUUCCGCGUGUAGCAGUGAAAUGCGUAGAUAUGCGGAGGAACACCGAUGGCGAAGGCAAUCCCCUGGGCCUGCACUGACGCUCAUGCACGAAAGCGUGGGGAGCAAACAGG
rnacentral:rRNA from 1 species